rnacentral:lncRNA from 1 species
CUGGUUGGUUUUUCUGAGACACGUGGUUAGCGGUCCUAACAAUUAUGGAGAUGGUGCGUUUGCUGUUGGUGGAGGUGGCGAUGAUGUUGUUGCGAUUCCUGAAUCUUCAAGUUAUGAAGAUGGUGCGUUUGCUAUUGCUGAAGAAGCUACCAUUGGGCCUCUAGAUGCCUCAUCCAAUACUGCACUUUCUAUCGAUUUAAGUGAUUGUGCUAAUUAAUGCUUCCACUAGCACAAGAAAGAAUUUUCAACAAACGUUUUUGGGCGGUGGCUGGAAAUGUUUACCUGGCUGGAAAGUAGGAGUGGCAAAAGCUUUUGGCCCUUACGGAUAAUAAGAUUGCACGUAUAAUAGAAAGUUGGGACCAAAAUGAAGAUAAGUUUCUUGAAGACGAUGAUGACACAAAUUUUGAAAUCAAUAUAUGCCGGUGCGAAAAUAAUGAAGAAUUGACAGCGGAAGAAAGUUCUUGUGUGGCAGAAAACACUUUUGCAGAGAAAAAUGCUAAUACGAAUACUCCAAUUUGUACGCUUGUCAAAGAAAUCCUGAAAAAGCGGAGCAGAUUGAUAAAGAGGAUUUGUGAAAGUUUUUGGGAAUAUGCGUCAAUAUGUCUGUAGUUCAGAUCCCAAACAUUCGUAGAUAUUGGACACCCAUUGCAGCAAACAAAUUGAUUCAAGAAACUAUGUCUGUUAACAGAUUUGAAAAAAAUUAAUUCAAUAUUGCAUUUUAACAAUAAUGAUGAUAUGAAACCAAAAGAUGAUCCACAUUUUGACAGACUUUUUAAGCUUCGUCCAAUUGUAAAUCAUUUGGUUAAAAAAUUCAAAUCAGUUCCACUUGAAAGCUGUCUCUCUGUAGUUGAACAACUAUGUUCCACCAAAUGCAAAUCAUAUUUGAAACAGUGGGGAACAGAAUUCCAAAUUUGAGGCUUCCCGAUGAAAAAGCUAUGAUAAAGAAAUCACGAGGAGAGUCCUGCGAAUUUGUUGCAACCGUGGAAAAUUUUGAUAUAUCUGUGGUUUCUUGGAGAGACAACAAAAUUGUAAAUUUGAUGUCAAACUAUUGUGGGAAGGCUCCUGAAAAGCAGUUGAAAGAUUCGACAAAAAGUUGAACAGAAAAGUAUCCGUUGCUUGUCGAAACAUAGUUGCAGAGUAUAAUAAGUUUAUGGGAGACGUAGAUUUAUUAGACUCAUUUAUUGGUCGAUAUAUAAUCAAAAUACGGUGUAAAAAAUGGUACUUGAGGCUCUUCAUUCACUUGCUAGAUACAGCCAUUGUAAAUUCUUGGUUAUUAUAUAAGCGCGCUGAAGCCCAGAAAGGUAACCCCAUAAAAGAAAAUUCGGCAGAUUUUCGCUUAAAAGUAGGAGAAACCCUGUGCAAAAUGGGAGAAGUUUCGACACCAAGCGGUAGACUUUCGGAACUUAUGAGAAAUCUGGCUCUUAAGAGAAAUCACCAGCGAAGUUUACCUAUUCCUGAAAAUAAAGUGCGUUUGGACCAUACGGAUCAUUGGCCAAAGUGGGUAGACAAUCGCGUAACUCCCAAAAUACCAGGUUGCCGAGGAUAUACCUUUGUAAAGUGCGAAAAAUGUAACACAAGUGUUUGCUUUAACAAACCAAGAAAUUGUUAUAAAAAAUUUCGUUUCGAAUAAAUAUGAGAACGUUUUUUUUAAAUUAAAUCUUAUGUUAUCGCUACAAAUUAAUGUGAUGUAAUUAAAAAGAACAAAUUAUGUGAAUGGAUCACUACGUUGUUUUAAAAAAAUUUUACCCAAUAAAAUACGAGUUAGUAAAAAUUU